rnacentral:misc_RNA from 1 species
CACAUUCUAGACGCUCUCCCGUACAUAGCAAGUCCUGGCUCCGUGGAGCUAAUCAAGGAGAUGAUAAUAAAGAACUCGGUGGAAGAGGAGACGAGGCACGAGUGGCUCAUGUCUAUGGCUAUGAUACCAAGGCCAAAGAUGCAGAUGUUGGACAGUAUGCUAGAGUUGCUACAAAAACAGAAGAAUGACAAAGUGAUCAGUUUCACCGUAUCGUCCAUGGUACAUUCCUAUUGUAAACACAGUGGAAAGGAACUACGUAUAUGCUGUGAAGAAGAAACCCCUAUGGCUAUCUUACAAGAAUUCGAAACUAUCGUCCAAGAGAUUGCGAGUAAGGGUGUCAUCAAAACUAGAGAAGAUAGGAAUAAUAUAAUAAUAGCAAUAAAAGCCCUCGGCAACAUCGGAGGCUACAGAAAGGAGUUUGCAGAUGUACUAAUGAAUAUAAUCGGGGAUAGUUUCGUGCCUGUGCCCGUUAGACUGACGGCUGUCGACGCGUUUAGAAGAACGCCUUGCGAUGAAACUCGGGAAUAUUUCCUAGAAACAUUCCGUGCGGACUACAUGAACUUAGAAGUACGUUUAGCGUCGUACGUACAAGUUAUGAAGUGCCCCGACCUCGGGACGCUGAGGAAAAUCUUCCAUACACUGCAGGAUGAACCUGUUAACCAAGUUACAACAUUCGUAUGGAGUCAUCUCAGGAACUUAGCAGAAUCUUCCCUCCCUUCUCGCGUGGAAAUACAGGGUCUGCUGUCAGGCAAUCAGAUACCGCAUCUAGAAGAUAGUCCAGAUUUCAGAAUGUACUCCAGGAAUUACGAACAGGGCGUGUUCUUUGAUCAGUAUAAUGCAGGUGGUAAUUAUGAAGCGAACGUAGUAUUCACUCCAGACUCUUACAUACCGCGGUCUCUGUCACUCAAUCUCACUGUGGACAUGUUCGGAGAAUCUAUCAACGUUUUUGAGAUGAAAGCCCGCGGCGAGGGUUUUGAGCGCUACUUCGAGCGUUUCUUCGGCAACAACGGUCCACUCAACAAGAACAAACUUACUGAGAAGAUAGCCAACCAUCGCUUCUUCAGGUCCACUAAUGAGGCUGAUGAAGUUAGGGAGAAGAUCGAUAAUCUGGAGUAUAAGAAUGAGGCUUUGAAACAUAGGUUCCCAAUGGCAGAACUAGGUAUCAAAGUGUUUGGCAAUGAGAUAUCCUACUGGAAUGCCGAAGGUGACGAGGAGAUUAUGAAGUCUUUAGCCAGAUUGAACCCACAACUCAGAGUUUUGGAAAUACUUUCUGGAAAGGAAAUUUCAUAUAACAAAGCGUCCCUAUUCCUGGACACGACAUUCUCAGUGCCCACGGGGUCAGGCCUGCCUAUGAACAUGAAUCUCAUGGGAACCAGCUAUGUCAACACUAAGAUGUCGGGUACAGUCACUGAUAAAUAUGCGCAGUCCGGUAAUCUGGACUUUGAGGGGAAAUUGAGGCCGAGUGUGGCAGUAAACAUAGCAGCGACAAUGAGCGUGGACGCAGGUGGUCUCAGUUCGAGCGGUAUUCGCGUCAACUGGCGUCUAUACACGGCCACCGCAGUGGAAGCCAAGCUGAAGAUACGGGGAUUGGCUCAAUUGAAACUCGAUUUAAGUCUGCCUAUUGAUAAGCAGGAGAUUUUUGCUGCUAAGUCGGAACUUAUAAUCCUUCACGGUGAUAAAGAGCAACAACAACAAGGUUUGAACAAGAAUAGAAUAGAACAGAAUACUUGUAGCUGGUCUACCUUCGAUAAGGCUAUUGGUAUCAAGAUGUGUGCCUCUUAUCAGUUCCCAAACAUGACGAAUCUCCGCAACGCCCCAUACUUCCUAAUGAGUGGACCUGCCAAAUACAUCCUCUCUCUAGAGAAGGCAGAUCCCACAGCUGACACAUACGCCUUCCAGUACAAGUGGGACAAGAACGAGACCAGUAACGUUGUUAGCUUCUCUUUCGAUACUCCUGAUAGUAAGGAAAAACGAAUGAUCAACGCAGUUUUAUCGAUAUCGAAUACCUCAAGCACAGCACUAUUAACCCUCCAAUCAGAGAAGAGCACGUUAAUAGCUAAAGCUAUGUAUCGAAACAUGCCUUUAGAUAAAUCUCUAUCGGCUAGUCUAGACGUGGAUGGUAGGAAACAGUUCGAUACGGUGAUGUCGAUAAAAAGGCAUGAUAUUAAAUACGGGUUUGUGUGGAUACCACAUGCCUAUUGGGUCGUCGAUAAUGAGAGGGUUGCAGAACUUUCUGGUGUAAUAAAAGUAAAAUCCAAAGGCAGCGUCACCCAAAGCGACAUAGAAGCCGAAUUUCAAACGAAACAGCUAGCCAGCCACUUAUUAGGCUACUACACUAUAAACGGACCAACCCACGGAGCUAAACUACAGUUCGAUUAUCAAUUCUAUAAAAGUCCUAAACAAACGAUUAAAAUAGAAGGGAUUUAUAGUGAGAGGACGGGAGCGUUUAGACAUGAUAUGUAUGGAGAUCUGUCUAUGCAGUUUACCGCUUACCCUGGAUAUAACUUCUAUACUGUUUUGAAGAAUGUUAAAACGCAAUCCCACGUGGAUAUAGGCUUCAAUGUAAGCGCAUCCCGGGAAAAUAAAGACGACCCCGCCUUCACGUUCGCGUUCACCCGCGCGGAUCGUCUGACCGGCAUGAAGUUAGACACGCGACUGACGUUACAGCGACCACGGCUCGUUGAUAUGAGGUUCCAAUUUGAAGGGAUCGGCCCAAAAUACACAGCGGUGGCCCUUCUGAACUUCAACCCGAAAUCUCGCGAGAUCCUAGUGUCGGGCUACCUGUUCUUCCCUCCUGGCACACAGUUGUAUCUGGAUGCUGAACUCAACAUGACCCUGCCGACGUUACACCCUUGUGUCAUUAAGACGAAGGUGCAUGAGAAAAUGCCCAAUGAUUAUCAAGUAAACGCAGCAGGCGUUUGGUUCACGGGCGUAGACUUUAACAUUGACGCUUCAUACCAAGAUCAAUCGAAAACCAAUAUGGCGUCUCAUCACCUGAAAGCUUUGAUCAGCAGCACACACUUCAAGAAUAUCGCCAUGGAUGGACGGUUUACACAGGAUAAUAGGCAGAUUACUUUUAUUGGUCAGGGUGAAUACAACGAUGACCACUAUAGAACUUUAAUCCGCUACAUAUUACUUUCGGAACAAAACUUCACAACUUAUGUGGAAGUAGAUGUCGGCGGGAAAGCGUAUAGCGUGAACCUUAAUGCUGACCUAAGUAACAAUACUAACCUUAAUAUGGAUAUACAUUUUGAUCAACUUCGCGACCUCCACUUUUCCUACCAACGCUGGGUGACGGCCCGCCAAAAGCGGCUAAGUGUUGCCUUCAACUGGGAUGCAAACCGUGACCCUUCGCAGAAAGUCAGCGUAGAUGUGCAGUUGGACAACAAGGGGACCUGGCACCAUGGUGGACAUGUGUCCUUGUACUAUCCUGGGAGAAUGGUUAAUGGGGAGUUCGAGUUUUUGUUAAGAGAUUGGUUCUGCCAAUGGCACGUCCGAAUGGGUUGGUCAAGCGAGUCCAACAUACUAUGGCGCGUUAAGAUGUACUCGGAAGCACAUAACGAGACUGUAUACGCGUUGCUCUCUAGCAUGAAUACGCCAUUCGCAGGAUGGAAAGAUACUAGCUUCAAUGUUAUGUGGCGUUACCACGACAAUCUGCAAGCACUAAACGGCAGUAUGAACUGGCAAGAAGACUACCUAGCAUUCAGUCUACUAGCCGACUACUUAUUCAAGACCAAUGAGUUCUAUGGCGAAAUCAAUGCGGUUGUCAACUCGACUAUACCGACCUUACCGAAGGCGGCUGCUAUAGCCAAACAUAGGGUCGUUUGGAAGAAAAGUGCUGAUACUCUGCUCAGUUUUCAGUACAACGAAGAUGGUCUUCUAAUGAUCAACUCAUCAUGGACUCUGGAGAGAGGACAAAAGGAGAACAACAUUACAGGCAGAGUAAAACUCCUGACGCCUUUCCCUGGCUACAGGCAAGGAUUCCUCCGGACGGAAUUCGUGUUGGGCCACAAACGAGACAUUCAUGGCAUCACCUACCUUGACCUUGAAGAGAAAGUGCUCAAGAUUUAUGUCAACGGUCAUAUGCGUCGUAUUACUAACUGCAUGUUAGUGGUGAACGUAACGAGUCCAAUGGUGGAGUUCCCGCAAAUGACUGCGCGCUUCGGCUUCGUAGAAGCUGAUAGACAUCUUGUCGCUAUGGUGGUUACUACUAAUUCUACUACUGGUAUCGAAGUGCUUCUGAAGCUGGUGACAUUGCAAGACUUCCAUGUAUUCGGACAUGUUGCAUUGCCGAUACAGUACCUGAACAGAGCUAUGAUCAUUGCCAAACGAGCGCCUGAAGAGUUGGACUUCAGAGUAGGUUGGGGUAAAAUGGACUUCGGUUUCACCGGCAUCUGGCACUGGCGGUCACCCAUCAACUUUGUGUACUUGUACAAGCUUUACACACCGCUCGAAGGAUUUGAGGAGAACGGACUUGUAUUGAAGAAUGUAUACGGUGAUGGACUUGAUACGGAAGUCUCUAUGAGAUUGUCUACGCAUAAGUUCGGCAUAGCAAUUCUUCUAAAGGACAACGGCAAAGGUCUACUAGACGUACUUAAGGAUAGAUUCCAACACGACUCGCAAGUGGGCUCCGAUAUGUUCAUAGAGAACUUCGACACUAGAGCACGGGUCGUGCUCGAUACGUUGUAUUAUCCUACCAUCACGUUCAAUUCGCAUCUUAUGAAGUUCGUGGGUCCAGAUGAAGAAGACAUAAUGGAAGUAAAUGCUACACUUCACUUGCCUGACAAACCGCCUAUUGUGUUGACUGAUGUCUUUAUUUUAGAGCAAUACACAGUAAUGAGAAACACCCUUAACUUAGUAACGCCUUUCCAAGCUGUGAAGGAAUUAAAGUCGGUGUACACUGUCGACAUUAUAUUAGGAGAGAAGAUCAAUGUUACCUGUUUAGUGCUGUUGUAUAACGGGACUUAUUGGCAUGAGAUAUCGAACAAAAUAUUCUACGAGUACGAAUGUGGGGAAGACGAUACCUACCAAUCAUACGUCGCGUCCGUCGGCAUCGCCACUCCUCUCACAGUGUUGCCAGCGCUAGAAGCGAGAGUUGCCGCUAGACUAGAGGAUGCACUAUGGAAAAUGACGGCCGAUAUCGCCAUGCCGGCGUUUACUAUCACCGCUUUAGCCAGUUUAGAGCUAGACGAUCCAUUCGUGGAAACAUCAGGUAGUCUGAACCUAACAUCAGCGUACUUAGAAGACUACUUCAUCAAGAUGCAGUUCAAGAAAGAUUUCUCCGAUGUCGAGAACGUAGUGGGAGGUGGUAUACAGAUACAACAGGGCGAGCAGAAUAAUUAUCUAUUCGCGGACGUAGUAUGGCGUCCAGCCCCCCACCGUCACAUUCGCUUCAAGUCCCGCGGAGCUCUCGCUCCCGUACUGUCUCCCGCCGAACUCAACUUGUUAUACAGCGAAGAUAUAUCGAGAACAUUGUCAGUGGACUUCAACAGCGAGACCUACUUCUAUACGCUGAAGGCAGAUCAGACGCAGACUUCUGUUAGCGCCACUUUGAGCAGCCCGCAUGAAGGGUUCAGAGCAAUAAAAAUAAUAACCGAGUUUGAAGGCGAUGACAUUCGAGGCUCUUUCGUCACCGACACCACAGAAUAUAGCAUCAACGGCAAAGUGCUCAAUAGGAAACCGCUUGAGAUGGCGUUAACCCUAGUUCCCCGAGGCCAAGGCGAGAACGUAGACAUUCGUAUAAAGUACGAGAGCAGUCCCACAGUAUAUGCACUUUCGGCUAACUUUGUGGGACCAGUGUCGGCCACACUACACGCUAGGACCGAAAUGGCCGCUAACUUCAGUGAUAUUAAUGUUAAGCUGGACAUACCCAGAUCGAAAUACAAGGACAUUUACUUCAAGUCCCGCGUGGACAACUACCCGGGACUGCGGAAAGUGCUCAGUGUGCAGGCCGCCACUCCGUUACAGAGAAUACGAUAUGUUAAGGGAGAUACUGAUUUUGAAUUUGGCCCUAAGACUGGAUACCUACUGUGUAAAUACGCGUUACCUGACAUGGAAGGCGAAGGCGAUCUUAAAUGGAGCUUCUUGCUCGGCGAUCUGUUCAUAAGGGCUCUAGGCCACCAACACGUCCAAAACAUAGAGAAGAGUGUAGAUUUAGACAUAUACUUCGGCAACAGCACCACUCCUGACAUGAUGCAGAAGACGGACGCCGGCUUCAAGAUGGACCUCGACCACGUGUGGCUGAUCGGCGCAAACGCCUCAUUCGGUAUAAUAAUGAACAAGCGAGUGAACUUAGUAAUUAACGCGGUACUACCCAAGCCGAAUGUAGAUGUUCAUACGCUAUACAUUGACGGUGAUAUGGGAACUCCCAAUGAACCGCUUAAGACUUUAGAAGCAGAGUAUAGGACCGAUGUUACGAAGAUUGUUACUGGUGUUAAAGGGAAUUUGCUAGAACUACCAGAGAGUUUCGACACGAAUUCCACGAUAACUUGGACGUCCAGCACUGGUUACAAACAUAUCGAUAACAAAGUGAAUUACAAAUGGGACAUCAAUGGCUCGAACCAUGUCGACUAUACUUUAACUUCGCCGAUGUUCGAUGAUGCACCGACGCUGAAGCUGAAAGGGUCCUACCAAAAGGAUUUGGUUCAUAAAUAUCAUAUUGUCAAGGGUAACAUGCAUCACCCAGGACCCAGUCAGAUUGGAGAGAUAGACCUCAGAUAUGGCGGUGUUAAACAUACGGACGGACAUUUCAACUUUACUACACCCUUCAAACGUCUGCCUUGGCUCAAGUCUAUAUUUGAUAUAAACAACUUAGAAGAACACUCAGACAACAAAGUGGACCUCUUCUGGCCAAACAAAACAGCUUCCAUAAACACCACCCACCGCUACCAUAAACAAGACAAAGGCUUCACACAAAAUGGCGUCAUAUCCCUUUCCGUUCCUCUCAGUCGUCAACAUCUUGUAAACACAGAGUAUUAUUACAUACAAGGCGACAAAUGGAGUAAUGGAAACGCAACAAUAGAUUUUGACAAAGAAAGAUUUGUCAAAGGAUCCUUCAAUCAGAUUUUGACGAAAAGCGCUAGGAAUUUGGACCUUGCGACUAUGGAUAUAGAGGUUGAAAAUGUUCAUACGCCUGUCGGGAUUAAGUAUAUUCAUGAGUACGAUAAUACUGGUAAUACGGAUGUAAAACAAGCCACAGUAUUCCACCUUCACAAUGCCACCAAAUUCAACGUUACCGGCAAACUCGACGUUUACACUUACGAUAUAGGCAAAAAUCUCAAACUGACUGCUAUACACGGGAACCGAACCUGGACCUUUGACAAUAAGUACGAAGCGGUCGAUAAGGAGCUUAAGCAGGGCACUAAGAUUAAGUGGGCUGAAGAUGUCUGGUUUAAUUAUAAUUUGCAUGUCACUAAUAUGACUACGGAUGAAACCGAAUCCCAACAACUAGUAAUGAACGUAUGGUAUCCGCUCCGUACAUUCAACUUAAUCGCUCAGUACAACUUACAAGACACACUACUAGAUGGUACGGCCAGAUUACAUUGGAACGUCAAAGAGGAGAAUAAAACUGCCGAGUUAAGAGGACGAUGGGAAAACCCGCCCGUACCUGAGGGAAAUUUGCAUCACGUUGAUCUGUCGUUGGCACAUCCUUCGUUUAGAAAGGACGUAACACUCAAAGGCCAAUACAUAUCAACUCCAUCAGUUAUGUCAAACGUUUCCCUAGAAUUACAAUACUCAGACUACGAGAACGAAUAUCUCAAACUAAAAUCCAUUUUAACUGACAAUUCUAACGGACCAGUUAGAGAUUACAAAUUUGCUUUAACUUGCAAACAUCCAUCCACGAAUUUAGAUUUGGAUAUGAAAUCUGAUAUACAUAUACAUAGUCGCUGGUAUUACUUGAAUAACUUCUAUAGGUUCCAGAAAUCGCUUUUCUAUGAGAAGUUGAGGCAUAACAAGUUUUUGAUCGAUAUGGCUAAUAGUGCUAUUCAGUAUGAGCGAGCAAACGAAACAUACUUCUACAAAGUGAACGGUACUUGGGAACUAGUGUACCCAGAAUUCAAGUUAAAGACACUAGUCAAUAGACCGACGGGCAAUGACACCGGGACUGCCACGCUUUCUAUGAAGAACAGGUCUUUUAUAGCGCAUUAUAAUAGUACUGAUGAUAUCUCAUACCACAUGAUCGGCCAAAUCGUAGACACACGCUACGCCAAAUUUGACUCUUGGCGUAACUUCGAUGACGUCACAACCGUAGACCUUGCUUCCUACAUCCGUUUAAAUCACUCCCGAUUACUCACUAGCUCUAUGAAAUGGCGUCCAGAAAUCUUCAGCGAAGUCAAAUCCCAAGCAGUUUAUACAUUAAAACUUUUGUACGGACAAGUUAACGAUACACUUGUAAUAAUAAAAGAAAUGCCCAUGGAGGCCCAUUUAGCACUCAAAAAUAUUUGGUCUGAUGCAAAACCGAGAAUUCGUGACUUCUUAGACGAUUUGAAUGACUUACAUGUGAUCAAAGACGAUUUGGAUGAGUUCGAACGAUUCUUGAACCAGUCUUACAGCCAUAAUGACUUUUACGUCAAAGAUAUUGUCGAAUUCACUUACUACGUGUUAGACGAAAUGGCGAUUAGAAACCAUUUGGAAAGCUUACCAGGAAUAGUUAAUGAUAUGUGGGGUAUGAUGGGUAAUACUAGUCAAUCGAUAAAACAGAGUUUGACAUACAUUGUCGAUUCGAUUAAAAAGGCGUAUGCAAACUUCUUGGAGUCAGUCAACAAAGUUUUGGAAGCAGAUUUCAUGGAAUUAGUAUCAGAUAGAUUAGAAGCAAUGAUUUUGCAAUACGAUACUUUUAUAAGAGAUUUACAUAUGAAAUUUUUGGAGUACUGGGAGGAAACUUGGGUGAAUGCGACGAAUCGACUUUCGAAAUACUGGCAUGAAGUCUUGAAGUCGAUAGAGCCGUUGUUCUUUAAGGUUUUGCAUUAUACUGAGUCGUUUGUGUUCACUGUUUGGAAGAGCGUUAUGGACUUCUUCUAUAAUAGGACUCAAGAGUUGACUGAUUCGCCUUACUUCAAUUAUGUAUCGACUUUUGGACAUCAGAUGGAUCGCAUCUACAAAGACCUAAUGAACAACGAUUUAAUAACAAACAUAAAGAAAUACAGCAAGAAACUUUUCAACGCCGUCUGGUCUAAGAUAGAAAAGUACAUACCUUUCAAGGACGAAUUCACACAACUGUAUGCAGAGUUCAGGAAUGCUUGGCAAAACUUCUUGAAGACUAAACAAGUGGUCUAUGUUAGGGAAAAGUAUGAAGAAGCUUACGUCCGUCUUAAAUGGUGGUAUGAUUACUUCUUGAUCGGCGAGGCUUUGGAAACUGUUGGAGAGAUUUUAUACGCCAAACUGACUGAUAUGUCCAAGACUGCGUUACAAUAUGAAGAAUUACACCGAACACCAAAAACUAACUUCAUAUUCGAUCCCCGUACGGGAGCGAUCCUUCUAGAACAAAAGCUACCGAUGUCGUGGCAUGCCUUCAACCGAACACCGGACUUCACGGAAAUAGCCGAGUACCGUAUGGUCAAGGACUUUAUGGACGAAUGGUUGACCACGAACAAGAGCAUCUGGUCGUUCUAUUAUGAUAUCCGACCUUAUAUGGACUUUGAUAACUUGAUGCCGCCUUUUGCUGGAAUGGCAAUGAUGACCGGCCAAGGCACUCUAGUGACAUUCGACAAGCGCGUAUUCACUAUAUCCGAAGCCGGUACCUUCUUGCUCAGCAAGGAUUAUAGACAGGACAACUUUACUGUACUUAUGGAGAGCAACGAUCAGGGACGGUAUAACUUGAUAGUGCUGACGAGAAGGAAUUUGGUGCAUAUCGAUCUUUAUAAUGAGGAAGUAUCAAUCGGGCGUACAGUACUGAGCCUACCAGCUUUAGUAGACGGUCUCAUAAUAGACAGACAAACAGACACACUCAACGUGCAAGGCUACAACGGACUGGACAUACAGUGCAAUCUACUCUUCCAUACGUGCAAGCUUGAAGUCUCAGGCUGGUACUACGCAACUCUCGGCGGCCUUCUAGGCACGUACAACAACGAGCAAUACGACGAUCUACUCUUGCCCAACAAUACCUUCACCACUUCUAUCCCAGCGCUGGGCCAUGCUUGGAACAUCGUACCCAGCGCUUCCCCAACUAACAUAGAGAACAAAGACACGAAGAAUGAUACGCAGUGCGAGAAGUUCUUCCAGAAUAAAGUGUCGCCUUUGCAUCCGUGUUUCUCUGUUAUCCCAGCGGCGUCGUUCUACAGCGAGUGCGUGUCGGGCGGCGCGGCGUGUGCGCUGGCUAGUGCGUACCGCGAGCUGUGUCUGCACCAACACGUGCCGACACACAUGCCUGAUCACUGUCUGCAAUGCACAACUCCCCAAGGCGAUAUAAUCGAAGAAGGUUCAUUCCACAUGCUACAAUACAUACCGAACUCAACGGACGUGGUGUUUAUAGUAGAAGCACUGCAUUGUAAUAAGAAUUUGAGGAAAAACAAGAAUAUGGACCUCUUUGUAGAAGCUUUUGAUAUUAAGCUGCAGGCUAAUGGACUUUCGGAUAAUAGGUACGCGAUAGUCGGUUUCGGCGGUCGCGGCGUCUACCGUCAUCCACGUGCUCUCUACGUCAACAACAAAGUUUUCACCAACUCUAUUGAGAUAUCGCAACAUUUGGACAACUUUAUCAUUGACAAGUCCGACCUAGUCCGCGGUAACCGCACGGGCCGCACGGACAUGUUCGCGGCGCUAAGCUUCGCGACACAGCUGCCGUUCCGCGCGGCCGUGCCCCGCACCUUCAUACUGAUGCCGUGCUCCAAGUGUGACGCCUCCUUCAUGCGGUUGGACUACUCGACGAUCUACCACAACUUGAUGGAGAGCUCAGUAACGUUACACAUCAUGAUGGACGAUGACUUCAUGCUGUCCAAGAAGCGAGCCGCCAAGUAUCUGUUCGGUGUGGACAACACUCUAGCAUACACAAACAAGGAUUACGAACAUCUAGUAGGAGACGCAGCGCUCAGAAAACAAGUGAAACUGCCCAAAGAGAAGCUUGGACUUUGUACCUCCCUGGCUAUGGAAACUAACGGUACAAUCCUAGCUGGAGCCAAACUCCGUGGCGAUAGGCCCACAGCCCGUCGCUUCUCAACAGUGGCCGGCGCCCGUGCAGCCAGCGCGGCCACACGCUGCACGUCGCCGCCGCGCUGCGAGUGCAGUGAGGGACGCCUCGCGUGUCGCGUCUGUGCUGAUACGCAGCGACUGGUCAGUAUCUAGCAGGAGCCAAGCGAGAACACGAGCAACAGUGCAGCCCGUGCAGCCAGCGCGGCCACACGCUGCACGUCGCCGCCGCGCUGCGAGUGCAGUGAGGGACGCCUCGCGUGUCGCGUCUGUGCUGAUACGCAGCGACUGGUCAGUAUCUAGCAGGAGCCAAGCGAGAACACGAGCAACAGUGCAGCCCGUGCAGCCAGCGCGGCCACACGCUGCACGUCGCCGCCGCGCUGCGAGUGCAGUGAGGGACGCCUCGCGUGUCGCGUCUGUGCUGAUACGCAGCGACUGGUCAGUAUCUAGCAGGAGCCAAGCGAGAACACGAGCAACAGUGCAGCCCGUGCAGCCAGCGCGGCCACACGCUGCACGUCGCCGCCGCGCUGCGAGUGCAGUGAGGGACGCCUCGCGUGUCGCGUCUGUGCUGAUACGCAGCGACUGGUCAGUAUCUAGCAGGAGCCAAGCGAGAACACGAGCAACAGUGCAGCCCGUGCAGCCAGCGCGGCCACACGCUGCACGUCGCCGCCGCGCUGCGAGUGCAGUGAGGGACGCCUCGCGUGUCGCGUCUGUGCUGAUACGCAGCGACUGGUCAGUAUCUAGCAGGAGCCAAGCGAGAACACGAGCAACAGUGCAGCCCGUGCAGCCAGCGCGGCCACACGCUGCACGUCGCCGCCGCGCUGCGAGUGCAGUGAGGGACGCCUCGCGUGUCGCGUCUGUGCUGAUACGCAGCGACUGGUCAGUAUCUAGCAGGAGCCAAGCGAGAACACGAGCAACAGUGCAGCCCGUGCAGCCAGCGCGGCCACACGCUGCACGUCGCCGCCGCGCUGCGAGUGCAGUGAGGGACGCCUCGCGUGUCGCGUCUGUGCUGAUACGCAGCGACUGGUCAGUAUCUAGCAGGAGCCAAGCGAGAACACGAGCAACAGUGCAGCCCGUGCAGCCAGCGCGGCCACACGCUGCACGUCGCCGCCGCGCUGCGAGUGCAGUGAGGGACGCCUCGCGUGUCGCGUCUGUGCUGAUACGCAGCGACUGGUCAGUAUCUAGCAGGAGCCAAGCGAGAACACGAGCAACAGUGCAGCCCGUGCAGCCAGCGCGGCCACACGCUGCACGUCGCCGCCGCGCUGCGAGUGCAGUGAGGGACGCCUCGCGUGUCGCGUCUGUGCUGAUACGCAGCGACUGUUGGAGCUAUCAUUCUUCAACCAGGAUGACAUUGAUGAACUGAUUGACAUGGCUAUGGAACCUCCAACCCUACCAUCCUUCAGAUAAUAACAAGCCAGACUAGAAAUAAUAACACUCUUCUUAGAUUUAGUACUAGAUCUUUCAGACAAAAACAUUUGAAAAUUAUAUACUGACUAUUAAAAGAGUAUUUUGUCCUGACUAAAUUAGUAUUGUAAAAUAUACAAUUUGUUUAUGGAAUACUUUAAAAUUAUAUUUAUGAAUAAAUAUAAGAAUGCCUAAAGUUCAAGUAGUUUAAUAGUUCAAUUAAUUUAAGGAAUAAGUACAUACAAAAUAUGUUUUAAGAACAACAACUUAUUUGCAACCUUAUUUACUUAAUGGUAGUGUUUAUUUUAAAAUACAGUGACUAUGUAGACAUGUAGUAUGUUUGCUGUGUACAUAUUUAAUUAAUUUUAAGUUUGACAUGAUUAGAGGCAAUAAAAUAUGUAUUUUGUAUA